rnacentral:rRNA from 1 species
AAUGAACGCUGGCGGCUUGCCUACUACAUGCAAGUCGACCGGCCGGACGAUAAGCUUGUUUCUUUGCUGUUGGCGGGGGGCGGAUGAGUAACGCAUGCAUCCCCUUCCUCUUGGACUGGGCUAAGAACGGGGAACCGUUUCUGCUACUGCUGAAUAUUACGCACGGUAGGGUUCAGAAGUGAUUCACGGUUUUGCUGUGUCUUUGAGCUGGAUGCGCGCUGGCUGGGUUAGUUGGUAAGGUAACGGCUUACCAAGGCAACGUUGCAUAGCUGACCUGAGAGGGUGAUCGGCCACACUGGAACUGAGACACGGUCCAGACUCCUACGGGAGGCAGCAGUAGGGAAUCUUCGGCAAGGGGCGAAAGCCUGACCCAGCAACACCGCGUGAGUGAUGAAGGCCUUCGGAUCGUAAAACUCUGUUAUUAGGGAAGAACAGAAGUGUGAGAAACUGUGGACAUCUUGACGGUACCGAAUGAAAAAGCGCCGGCUAACUACGUG